rnacentral:rRNA from 1 species
UACGUAGGGCGCAAGCGUUAUCCGGAAUUAUUGGGCGUAAAGAGCUCGUAGGCGGUCUGUUGCGUCUGCUGUGAAAACUCGGGGCUUAACCCCGAGCCUGCAGUGGAUACGGGCAGACUAGAGGUAGGUAGGGGAGAAUGGAAUUCCCGGUGUAGCGGUGAAAUGCGCAGAUAUCGGGAGGAACACCGGUGGCGAAGGCGGUUCUCUGGGCCUUACCUGACGCUGAGGAGCGAAAGCGUGGGGGAGCGAACAGG